rnacentral:snRNA from 1 species
GUGCUUGCUUCGGCAGCACAUAUACUAAAAUUGGAAUGAUACAGAGAAGAUUAGUAUGGCCCCUACACAAGGAUGACACACAAAUUCGUGAAGUGUUCCAUAUUAAA